AGUCAUGCUGGAACGAUUUUGGUCAUUAAUCUUUAAAUUUCUAGCUCUUACUUUGCUUCUAGAUGCAUUUUCAUUUCUCUCCUAAUUUUUAUAUAAUUAAGAUCACCUAGCAUACUUAUGCUGAUUAUCAAUAUGUAUUUUGGGAUACUCGACAAACUUUCUGAGCUGCCUGUCUAUGCCUCCGCCUUUGGGACAUGAAAUUUUCCAUCAGGAGCGCUUUGGCGUUAUCCCAUAAAUUGUGGACAGCACAAUGGGAGCUAUGUAAGAGGACGUCUUCUUAGCCCUCCCUGCGAUCUCCACCCACAGCCCAUUGUUAGAGAAUUUUACUCUCUAACUGGGGACUUCAGCACAAGCUACACAUUUAAUAAUUAAUCUUCUCAGGGCAGAAUCACCAUGUAUUUGGGCCCUAUUAUAUAAACCUAUCUCAUAAAUGGUAGUCAAGGUUAUACUUUCCUUUUCUUUUUUCUCUAAGAUCAUCAAAACAUAAUAAAACUACCGAGUCC